CAAUAGCGUAUACUAAAGUUGUUGCAGUUAAAAAGCUCGUAGUUGGAUUUCUGGUGGGAGCGAUCGGUCUGGCGCUUAGCGCGAGUACUUGCAUCGUCUCCGGCCAUCCUUGGGGAGAGUCUGUCUGGCAUUAGGUUGUCGGGCAGAGGAUCCUCAUCGUUUACUGUGAAAAAUUAGAGUGUUCAAAGCAGGCUUAUGCCGUUGAAUAUAUUAGCAUGGAAUAAUAAGAUAGGACUUUGGUACUAUUUUGUUGGUUUGCGCACCAAAGUAAUGAUUAAUAGGGACAGUUGGGGGUAUUCGUAUUCCGUUGUCAGAGGUGAAAUUCUUGGAUUUACGGAAGACGAACUACUGCGAAGGCAUUUACCAAGGAUGUUUUCAUUAA
rnacentral:rRNA from 1 species